UCGAACGAGAAGGUGGAGCAAUCCAUGAGUAAAGUGGCGACCGGGUGAGUAACACGUGACUAAUCUACCUCCGAGUGGGGAAUAACUCCGGGAAACCGGGGCUAAUACCGCAUAACAUCGCAAAAUCAAAGCAGCAAUGCGCUUGGAGAGGAGGUCGCGGCUGAUUAGCUAGUUGGCGGGGUAACGGCCCACCAAGGCGAAGAUCGGUAUCCGGCCUGAGAGGGCGCACGGACACACUGGAACUGAAACACGGUCCAGACUCCUACGGGAGGCAGCAGUGGGGAAUUUUGCGCAAUGGGGGAAACCCUGACGCAGCAACGCCGCGUGGAGGAUGAAACCCUUUGGGGCGUAAACUCCUUUCGACUCGGACGAUAAUGACGGUACCAGUGGAAGAAGCACCGGCUAACUCUGUGCCAGCAGCCGCGGUAAUACAAAGGGUGCAAGCGUUGUUCGGAAUUAUUGGGCGUAAAG
rnacentral:rRNA from 1 species